UGAGGGGUAGUUUAAUAAGAAUGUGAGAUUGUCAAUUUCAUGGUGUUGCGUUGAAACUCCCUUAG
rnacentral:tRNA from 3 species